rnacentral:rRNA from 1 species
CUGCGAUAAGCGCCGGUAAGGUGAUAUGAACCGUUAUAACCGGCGAUACCCGAAUGGGGAAACCCAGUGUGACUCGUCACACUAUCAUUAACUGAAUCCAUAGGUUAAUGAGGCGAACCGGGGGAACUGAAACAUCUAAGUACCCCGAGGAAAAGAAAUCAACCGAGAUUCCCCCAGUAGCGGCGAGCGAACGGGGAGGAGCCCAGAGCCUGAAUCAGCAUGUGUGUUAGUGGAAGCGUCUGGAAAGGCGCGCGAUACAGGGUGACAGCCCCGUACACAAAAGCGCAUGUGCUGUGAGCUCGAUGAGUAGGGCGGGACACGUGGUAUCCUGUCUGAAUAUGGGGGGACCAUCCUCCAAGGCUAAAUACUCCUGACUGACCGAUAGUGAACCAGUACCGUGAGGGAAAGGCGAAAAGAACCCCGGCGAGGGGAGUGAAAAAGAACCUGAAACCGUGUACGUACAAGCAGUGGGAGCCCCACCACCAAAGCAUUUGCUGUACCGCGUUGACGGAGCGAAGCGACGUCAAACCGAUAAAACAGCAGUGUAAAGUGAGCCGCAGGGCGCUUUGCGCGACAGCGCAAAGGCAGGCGGUUUCGCGUAGCGAAAGCGAAUGCUUUGGGGUGGGGUGACUGCGUACCUUUUGUAUAAUGGGUCAGCGACUUAUAUUCUGUAGCAAGGUUAACCGAAUAGGGGAGCCGGAGGGAAACCGAGUCUUAAUUGGGCGUUAAGUUGCAGGGUAUAGACCCGAAACCCGGUGAUCUAGCCAUGGGCAGGUUGAAGGUUGGGUAACACUAACUGGAGGACCGAACCGACUAAUGUUGAAAAAUUAGCGGAUGACCUGUGGCUGGGGGUGAAAGGCCAAUCAAACCGGGAGAUAGCUGGUUCUCCCCGAAAGCUAUUUAGGUAGCGCCUCGUGAAUUCAUCUCCGGGGGUAGAGCACUGUUUCGGCUAGGGGGCCAUCCCGGCUUACCAACCCGAUGCAAACUGCGAAUACCGGAGAAUGUUAUCACGGGAGACACACGGCGGGUGCUAACGUCCGUCGUGAAGAGGGAAACAACCCAGACCGCCAGCUAAGGUCCCAAAGUCAUGGUUAAGUGGGAAACGAUGUGGGAAGGCCCAGACAGCCAGGAUGUUGGCUUAGAAGCAGCCAUCAUUUAAAGAAAGCGUAAUAGCUCACUGGUCGAGUCGGCCUGCGCGGAAGAUGUAACGGGGCUAAACCAUGCACCGAAGCUGCGGCAGCGACACUGUGUGUUGUUGGGUAGGGGAGCGUUCUGUAAGCCUGUGAAGGUGUGUCGUGAGGCAUGCUGGAGGUAUCAGAAGUGCGAAUGCUGACAUAAGUAACGAUAAAGCGGGUGAAAAGCCCGCUCGCCGGAAGACCAAGGGUUCCUGUCCAACGUUAAUCGGGGCAGGGUGAGUCGACCCCUAAGGCGAGGCCGAAAGGCGUAGUCGAUGGGAAACGGGUUAAUAUUCCCGUACUUGGUGUUACUGCGAAGGGGGGACGGAGAAGGCUAUGUUGGCCGGGCGACGGUUGUCCCGGUUUAAGCGUGUAGGUGUGUGUUCCAGGUAAAUCCGGUUCACUUUAACACUGAGGCGUGACGACGAGGCACUACGGUGCUGAAGCAACAAAUGCCCUGCUUCCAGGAAAAGCCUCUAAGCAUCAGGUAACAUCAAAUCGUACCCCAAACCGACACAGGUGGUCAGGUAGAGAAUACCAAGGCGCUUGAGAGAACUCGGGUGAAGGAACUAGGCAAAAUGGUGCCGUAACUUCGGGAGAAGGCACGCUGACACGUAGGUGAAGUGAUUUACUCAUGGAGCUGAAGUCAGUCGAAGAUACCAGCUGGCUGCAACUGUUUAUUAAAAACACAGCACUGUGCAAACACGAAAGUGGACGUAUACGGUGUGACGCCUGCCCGGUGCCGGAAGGUUAAUUGAUGGGGUCAGCGCAAGCGAAGCUCCUGAUCGAAGCCCCGGUAAACGGCGGCCGUAACUAUAACGGUCCUAAGGUAGCGAAAUUCCUUGUCGGGUAAGUUCCGACCUGCACGAAUGGCGUAAUGAUGGCCAGGCUGUCUCCACCCGAGACUCAGUGAAAUUGAACUCGCUGUGAAGAUGCAGUGUACCCGCGGCAAGACGGAAAGACCCCGUGAACCUUUACUAUAGCUUGACACUGAACAUUGAGCCUUGAUGUGUAGGAUAGGUGGGAGGCUUUGAAGUGUGGACGCCAGUCUGCAUGGAGCCGACCUUGAAAUACCACCCUUUAAUGUUUGAUGUUCUAACGUGGACCCGUUACCCGGGUUGCGGACAGUGUCUGGUGGGUAGUUUGACUGGGGCGGUCUCCUCCUAAAGAGUAACGGAGGAGCACGAAGGUUGGCUAAUCCUGGUCGGACAUCAGGAGGUUAGUGCAAUGGCAUAAGCCAGCUUGACUGCGAGCGUGACGGCGCGAGCAGGUGCGAAAGCAGGUCAUAGUGAUCCGGUGGUUCUGAAUGGAAGGGCCAUCGCUCAACGGAUAAAAGGUACUCCGGGGAUAACAGGCUGAUACCGCCCAAGAGUUCAUAUCGACGGCGGUGUUUGGCACCUCGAUGUCGGCUCAUCACAUCCUGGGGCUGAAGUAGGUCCCAAGGGUAUGGCUGUUCGCCAUUUAAAGUGGUACGCGAGCUGGGUUUAGAACGUCGUGAGACAGUUCGGUCCCUAUCUGCCGUGGGCGCUGGAGAACUGAGGGGGGCUGCUCCUAGUACGAGAGGACCGGAGUGGACGCAUCACUGGUGUUCGGGUUGUCAUGCCAAUGGCACUGCCCGGUAGCUAAAUGCGGAAGAGAUAAGUGCUGAAAGCAUCUAAGCACGAAACUUGCCCCGA